rnacentral:lncRNA from 1 species
CUACUUUAUUGGUCAACCUAAUAGAGAAAGCCCGAACCUGGCGCCCGGAAGUGAUGUCAUCGGAACUGUGCAAGGUCCCGUCCAGAGCUGGCUGCUGUUCCGCUAGCGAGCGGCAUGCUUAGUGAAGAAAAGCUUAAAGGCCGUCUUUGCCCAAAACGCUCUCUGUGCGCACCUGCAUUUCCCCCAGAUUUGCAGGUGAUGAGAGUUCUGUAAAAUUACACAGCUAGUGACUGAUCCAGCGGAGGCCGAAUACAGAUGGAGUCUCACUCUGUUGCCAGGCUGGAGUGCAGUGGUGCCAUCUCAGCUCACUACAACCUCCACCUCCGGGGUUCAAGCGAUUCUCCUGCCUCAGCCUUCCGAGUAGCUGGGACUACAGGCUUGAAAUUGGUUUAUCAGGUCUGGAAGUGACUGGACUCUGGAGUACUGAGUUACCCACCACAAACUGCUAAUAAAAUGCUGUGUAAAAGCCAUUAAUACUAAUGUAUUAUUUAUGAGAAACACAAUUAUGGGGAAGCUAGGAUAGUUGAGUUUGCUGGUCAUUAUCUUCCUUGUAUUGACCAAAUUACAAUGAAGGCUAAAUCCAAAUUAUAAUCAGAAGAUUGCUUGGUAAAUACAGAACAGAAACAAUAGAAAUGUGUGUGGUGCUUUUAAUGGCUAGUAUUUCAAGCCUGAUGCAGCCCUUUCCACUUGAGUCACAUUGUCUUACAUUCUUUGACUUGGCUAGUGCUAAAAAUACAUUGCCAUUUUACUUUCUCCAUUUUUUUUUUUUUUUUUUUUUUGAGACGACGUCUGGAUUGCAAUUGGUGUGAGGUUGGCUCACUACAACCUCUGCCUCCCGGGUUCAAGCGAUUCUCCUGCCCCAGCCUCCUGAGUAGCUGGGACUACAGGUGCACGCCACCACGCCCAGCUA